rnacentral:lncRNA from 1 species
AAACUAGAGGCUCUCAAGAGCCUGUGUCGCUCACCUGUUAAUGUGUUUACUGAUGUCGGCCAUCUUCGUUGGUAGGCAGGUUCAUUAGACACUUUUUUAAAAAAAAGAUACCCAAGUAUUAUGAUUGUGGCCAAGUUUGGUUAAAUUUGGCCAAGUAGUUUUAGAAAUGAUUUUUAUACAAGUUACAAAAAUGACGAAAAGUUAUUCAAUAUUGACUAUAAAGGGCAAUAACUCCUUAAGGGGGUCCUCUAACAAUUUUGAUCAUGCUGACUUAUUUGUAGAUCUUACUUUGCUGAACAUUAUUGCUGUUUACAGUUUAUCUCUAUCUAUAAUAGUAUUCAAGAUAAUAACCAAAAACUGCAAAAUUUCCUUAAAAUCACCAAUUUUAGGGCAGCAACCCGACAACAGGUUGUCCGAUUCAAUAGAAAAUUUGUGAGGGGAUAUAUCUUAUUCUGAUGGACAUUAAAAUCUUGAAAGAUUUGCCCUAAAUGUCUUAGUUUCAAAGAUAUAAAGCAAAAACUGCAUGUUCUAAUUUUAGCCAUGUCGGCCAUUUUGUUUGGUAGGCUGGGUCAUCGGACACAUUUUAUAAACUAUAAACCACAAUGAUAAUUGUGGCCAAGUUUGGUUAAAUUUGGCAAAGUAGUUUCAGAGAAGAAGAUUUUUAGAAAAGUAACAAAAAAUGACGAAAAGUUGUUAAAAAUUGACUAUAAAGGGCAAUAACUCCUUAAGGGGUCGACUGACCAUUUUGGUCAUGUUGACUUAUUUGUAGGUCUUACUUUGCUGAACAUUAUUGCUGUUUACAGUUUAUCUCUAUCUAUAAUAGUAUUCAAGAUAAUAACCAAAAACUGCAAAAUUUCCUUAAAAUAACCAUUUCACAGGCAGCAACCCCACAACAGGUUGUCCGAUUCGUCUGAAAAUUUCAGGGCAGAUAGAUCUUGACCUGAUCAACAAUUUUACCCCUUGUCAGAUUUGCUCUUAAUGCUUUGGUUUUUGAGUUAUAAGCCAAAAACUGCAUUUUACCCCUAUGUUCUAUUUUUAGCCAUGGCGGCCAUCUUGGUAGGUUUGAGGGGUCACGCCACACAUUUUUUAAACUAGAUACCCCAAGAAUGAGUGUGGCCAAGUUUGGUAGAAUUUGGCCAAGUAGUUUCAGAGGAGAAGAUUUUUGUAAAAGUUUACAGACGAACGGACGCAGGACAACGGACGACUGACGCCAAGUGAUGAGAAAAGCUCACUUGACCUUUCAGGUCAGGUG